rnacentral:tRNA from 1 species
CCGAUCUUAGCUCAGUUGGUAGAGCGGAGGACUGUAGUCGAAAUCGCACUGAAAUCCUUAGGUCGCUGGUUCGAAUCCGGCAGGUCGGA